rnacentral:rRNA from 1 species
CUGCGGCGGCGGGCGUGCGACGGUGGUCUUCGCCUCCUCUUCUUUAUUCUUGGUGACAUCUUAUUUUUCCCCUCCUGUUUGCGGUCUUUCUUAUUAUAGCGCUCGUGCUCCGGUUGCUCCUCCCUCCCUCCUCUCGCCGCCGUCGCAGCGGCUCCUCCUUCUUGUCGCUGGCCGGUGCUGGCGCGGCGGCCGCUCGCUCGAGGGCUCAAAGGUCGCUUUCAUAGGCUUCUAGGAACGAUCAAAGGUCCCUUCAAGAUGAGGUAAUUCGUUCUAAGAAGUUCCACUACCAAGUCAGAGUUGGGACGACUGGAGGUACAGGCCCCGGGGUGCGAGGUUGGAACCUGAACAAGGGUCCCUGUACUUACCAUCGGAAGGUCAAUCAUGAUGUUUAAGGAGACCCGGUUCGUAACCACAAUCGAGAAACCACUGACUACCGUUGAGUAGUGAAAGACCUCCACGGGUCAAAGUCGUUUCAUGCUCGUACUUACGACUAAGUAAGUACGCGGAAGGACGGAGAGGCUACAGCAAAAGCAGGUUGUUGUAAAGACCAAGAAGUCAGUAACUACCGAGGUAGUACGUCGUUUCAGGUGGGGUUCUCGUCUACGUCUUCGCCUCUCGUAGAUCACAUUGUAGUGUUGGACACUAACUACGACGGCGGCGUAAAGUACGAGUUUUCUUCGGUUCUCAACUAUAAGCCGUUCUACUAUAGAACGUUGUUGUCAACUAAGUUGUCGACGAGGUUCCAGUCUCAAGAGAAGUAGAGGUCCCGGUUGUGUUGGGUGUCGAAGUUCGGAACUAGGCCGUCGUGUUUGACCGUGUUUAAGUCGUUGUUGUCGUCGUAGUCAAUAGCGUUGUUAAAGGAGUCGUAGUUGUAAGAGUUCAACCGUAUGGAGCCGUCGGUGUCAACUCCGGCGGCGAUCGUGUCGGACCUUAAGUCGAUCGACCUGGACAAUCCUGAGGACAACUCUCACCCGAAACAAGAGCUUCCAAUUACGUCAUAAACAUAGUGUUCGCAAUGGCCGGUCUAUUAUUAGGGUAUUGUAUGACCUCCUUCGAGUAACUACUUAUAAAACGUGGUGCUAGUUCUCUCUCUACCACACACUGUAGUAUACUUUUCGGUCCCUUAUGGAGUCGACGAUAAGGUGUCUGUAGGGGCCCAUGUACCGCAACACUAUAAACAUUAUGCGUAAGCCCCUUUCCUAUACUCCGAUGGAGACUUUAUGAAGGAUCUGAGACAGUUUAAUCUAAACUGGUGCCACAAUUCCUACUUAUAGAUAAGGAACUGUACGGCUUGCUCAAGGCUAACGGGUUGCCUGACGACGAGGACCUCGUAUGAUUUCAACAAGUCUUCUCGUAGAUGCUGGUGGUUGUACAGUGUGUGCUCCCUGUCGAUUCUUAUUAUAAGUGAGGUCUUGAUUUCUAAUACAGGACCCUCAAAACAAGUGCCUUUGUGCUGCUCAUACAGUGAGCGUUCAAAGAUUGUCUCGUCCAAUGUGUAUACGAAGCACGAUGGGUCUCAAUAGUUCGAUGACAGUGUUUUUUACCUGGACGACCGGAUAGCUUGCUACUCCGUGUUUUCCGAACGUUGCUCAAUCAUUUUGAUUUAAAACGCAGUCGUAGUGCUGUUGAUCGCUUUUUAUAUCUAGUGGUGUCGGAUUUACUCGUACCAGAAAGAUUUUCUAUACAAGCGACAAACGUCUAUAGUCUCCACCACUUAGUGUACUUCCUAGAUUAACUCAAGUCGGUGUUCUUGUUCGAGCCGGGAUAUCUCCCGGACUUCUUGAUAGGGUUCGUUUGACGACCUGGUUUCGAGUGCCACGUCUUAAACGUACUGUUCCGCCAGUUUUAUCUUUACUCGGGGGUACAAUUAUUGCUCCAAGGUCCACAACCUCGUUGAUCAUUAUUAGGCGUCUUAGGACGUGGUGUUUCGUUAAUGGUUGUGUAAGACUCUUCGAGUUCACGUUUAGUCCCAAACGAAGUCGUCCUCCGUAGUGUCUUACGGCGCCGUUACUUGUCAAUGGUCUUAUACAAAUCUUCGUGUUCGCGUUUAGUCCCAAACGAGGUCGUCCUCCGUAGAGUCUUACGACGACGCGAUUUAUUAAUGGUCUUAUACGAAUCUCCGAGCUCGGGCUUAGUUUCAAAUGAAGUCGUCCUCCGUAGCUCAUAGAAGUUUCCAGGAUGUCGUCACGUGUCACCGUAAGUCGACCUUCGUAGAUCCAGCAAGGCACGGCGAGUCGAACCCGUUAAGGUCGUAGGCUACAGCAAGGUCGUUCCAUACGGGGUCGUGGUCGUAUUGUUAAAGGUUCCGGACCCGCGAUCAGGUGUUAAGGUCGUCGUACACUAGUUAGUCGACGACGUUCUUCGGUUCUUAUGGUUAUCGGCGUGAGAACGAGUAGUCGUAGUUGUCGUCGUCGUCGUUGUGGUAGUCGUCGUCGUCGUCGUCGUCGUUGUGGUAGUUGUCGUCGUCGUCGUCGUCGUCGUUGUAGUUGUCGUCGUCGUCGUCGUCGUUGUAGUAGUCGUCGUCAGAGGAUCGUGAGGGUUACGUUUACCACCAGAGCGUAGGCCUCGGCACCAGUGGUUGUCGCGACGAUCGCGUCUCGUCCGUGUCGUGUACUUAUUGCCGUGUCGUUUCCCGCGGCGAGGCUACCCAUACUGCCCCGGAUCAUUAGACUAGUUGUCGCCUCGACCGUACCAGGUCGCUUCGUCGUCAAAGUUCAGGCACUCGUCGUUGGGCCGGCGAAGACCGCCGUUACGCCACCGCUGGGGUUUCCGCCUCAGACACGUGCUGUACCUGCUGGACCUUGUAGAGUAGAGGGUGCUCGAGCACCUCUCGCCCGACAAGUACCCCCUCGUCGGCCCCCUGCCGCCGAAGAGCACCUUGUAGACUGUAGUAGCAGUUGAUUACAGAUCUCGACACAAACUACCACUAUAGCAGCAUCUAAUAAUUUUCAAAAGGGAGAAAAAAGCUCGAGCACAAGCGGCGGACCUUGUCAGAGACCACUAGUAUCUAACUACUUGGAAGUCAAUACACUCUCACUCAACCAAACCUAUCGUCACGUUGGGUCACAAUAAUUGAUCAUACCUUACUGUACGACACCACACCAACAGUAAACACGACGAUAGAAGAAUGGUCACAAACCGGACGGUAGACAAGAAUUUGGGUAGUAUAUAGGUACUCUCCACAUCGUUGAUCAUAACGUCUUGAUGUCAUCAUCGUCCGUCCGUGUGAGUACUGGUACCGUACUCUUGGAACUAUUAUAAAUUCGAACACUUCGUAGUCCUGUUUAACACGUACGGUUUUUAGUCACUCCUGUCAUAUAUAAAAAGGUUGAUUUUCGACUACACAAAGAAGAAGACGGGGAAAAGAAAAAACUUUUACUUUUCUGAAAAUAACGAAAAAAAAGAAGAAGAAAACACUAAACAC